AACGAACGCUGGCGGCAGGCUUAACACACGCAAGUCGAACGCCCCGCAAGGGGAGUGGCAGACGGGUGAGUAACGCGUGGGAAUCUACCUAGUUCUACGGAACAACACAGGGAAACUUGUGCUAAUACCGUAUACGCCCUAAGGGGGAAAGAUUUAUCGGAAUUAGAUGAGCCCGCGUAAGAUUAGCUAGUUGGUGAGGUAAUGGCUCACCAAGGCGACGAUCUUUAGCUGGUCUGAGAGGAUGAUCAGCCACACUGGGACUGAGACACGGCCCAGACUACUACGGGAGGCAGCAGUGGAGAAUAUUGGACAAUGGGCGAAAGCCUGAUCCAGCCAUGCCGCGUGAGUGAUGAAGGCCUUAGGGUUGUAAAGCUCUUUCAGUAGGGAAGAUAAUGACGGUACCUACAGAAGAAGCCCCGGCUAACUUCGUGCCAGCCGCCGCGGUAACAC
rnacentral:rRNA from 1 species